AAGCCUCUUGCUCAUUAAGCAAAGGCCCUCCAAGUCUCCUUUUUACUUCAGCACUUUGGAAACUCUCCAAGACUUAACUUCCGAUCUGGGGAGGUUCUACGUGGAGCAGACCUAUCCUUCUUAUUCCUGUUCCUGGGUGUCUCCAUAAUCAGCCUCUACCUUCCCUGGCAUAAGUCAUAUCUGUUAUGCUGCAGGAACUGAGUAACCAAAGCUAGAUAUCCCUUGGACCACUGAUUAGUGACACAUUUUCUCCACAACAAAGGGAGGCUAAAGACAAAGGUUUAACCUGAGAAACUUUUUUUUUGGCAAGAUAAUAAAGAGGUUAAAGAGGCUACGUGGAUCUGUCACUGCUUUAGCUUACCAUUUUCAAUUCAGCACCAAAGUGCUCAGGAAGACAGGCUCAGAUCAGGACGACUUCUUAAAGGGAUUCACAGGCAAUAUUACUGACAAAAUGAUUUUCCAAAGCUGAGCCACGCGCCCCACCCUACAGGGAGGGGAGUAGAAUCUUACGGCCCAGCAUUGGCAUUGAGGCAUCUUGCUUUUUUUCCUCAGAAUUCCACAAAGGCUUAAGAGUGAUCUAAAUGCCUGGCUGGAAGCUCAAGUCUAGGAGAGCUAUUUUACUGCACUGUUGAGAUGUUCUCUGCAAGGUGAUAUCCCAAGUGACACAGAAACACAGCUCCUCCGGAUGGUGAAGUCUCCGCUGCAAAACUCACGAAACAGCACAGAGGAUGACUCUAGGGUGCUCUCCCACUUGCUCCAAGUUAGGCAGGUGCCCUGGUGGAGGCAAGGCUGAGCCAUUAACAUGCACAGCUCCAUAUCCUGGAAGCCUCUGUAGCCUUGAGGAGAUAGGCUCUAUCCAACAGGACUCAGAAUAAAUGACUGCCACCUCAACUGAGCAGUAUGAACUGCCCACCUCAACUGGGCAGUCUGACCUCUUCCAUAGUCUUUAAGAAACAGAAGAGCCAUUUGCAUUAUUUAAUCACCAUUCAAUAAUCUCCUCCCUCCCCAUAGCUGCUUGAGUUAACUGUCCCACAAGUGUCCUGUGGUUUGUAAAGAUGAGGGUUAUUUUCUGAAAUGCAGAUGGGACUAGGAUGAAGCUGUAUUAUCAAUUACAGCCAACUCUCAUUUCUCUUAAAGCAAAAAUUCAUUCCACUGUGAUUUCUCCAGGUAUUUCCUGCAAUUCUAAAUCCACCCUUGAUAUUAGAGAAUAUUAAAAUCACACA
rnacentral:antisense_RNA from 1 species